rnacentral:rRNA from 1 species
GUGUCAGCCGCCGCGGUAAUACGUAGGGGGCGAGCGUUGUCCGGAAUUACUGGGCGUAAAGGGUGCGUAGGUGGCUUGUUAAGUUGGAUGUGAAAUCCCCGGGCUCAACUUGGGUGGUGCAUUCAAAACUGGCGAGCUAGAGUGCAGGAGAGGGAAGCGGAAUUCCUAGUGUAGCGGUGAAAUGCGUAGAUAUUAGGAGGAACACCAGUGGCGAAGGCGGCUUUCUGGACUGUAACUGACACUGAGGCACGAAAGCGUGGGGAGCAAACAGGAUUAGAUACCCUGGUAGUCCACGCUGUAAACGAUGAAUACUAGGUGUAGGGGGUAUGAACUCCCCCUGUGCCGCAGCUAACGCAAUAAGUAUUCCGCCUGGGGAGUACGGCCGCAAGGUUGAAACUCAAAUGAAUUGGCGG